rnacentral:lncRNA from 1 species
ACAUAAAGAAGAUCUUCCAUUUUGCCUUUCCAAAUAUGAUAAUUUGAACCGGUCAAAUUAACGCUUUUGCUUGUAUUAGUUUCCAUCACAAAAGUGACAGUUCAACAACACUGCUGACUACACAAAAAAAAUAGUAUAGAAAUCAGUCUCAUGAACAAUAACCCAGUAACGGAUUAUCCUGGCUCUGAUACUACUUGUUGGGAAUAAAAUAUUAAUUCCCACUUUAGUCGGUCGUUGAACAAUAUGAAAAAUAACACAAGCAAUCGGAACACCAAAAUUUACGUGGAAA